GGGUGCGUAACGCGUAUGCAAUCUACCUUUCACAGAGGGAUAGCCCAGAGAAAUUUGGAUUAAUACCUCAUAGUAUUAUAGAGUGGCAUCACUUUAUAAUUAAAGUCACAACGGUGAAAGAUGAGCAUGCGUCCCAUUAGUCUAGAUGGUAAGGUAACGGCUUACCAUGGCAACGAUGGGUAGGGGUCCUGAGAGGGAGAUCCCCCACACUGGUACUGAGACACGGACCAGACUCCUACGGGAGGCAGCAGUGAGGAAUAUUGGUCAAGGGGCGCAAGCCUGAACCAGCCAUGCCGCGUGCAGGAUGACGGUCCUAUGGAUUGUAAACUGCUUUUGUACGAGAAGAAACAACAUUACGUGUAAUGUCUUGACGGUAUCGUAAGAAUAAGGAUCGGCUAACUCCGUGCCAGCAGCCGCGGUAAUACGGAGGAUCCAAGCGUUAUCCGGAAUCAUUGGGUUUAAAGGGUCCGUAGGCGGUUUAGUAAGUCAGUGGUGAAAGCCCAUCGCUCAACGGUGGAACGGCCAUUGAUACUGCUAGACUUGAAUUACUAGGAAGUAACUAGAAUAUGUAGUGUAGCGGUGAAAUGCUUAGAGAUUACAUGGAAUACCAAUUGCGAAGGCAGGUUACUACUAGUGGAUUGACGCUGAUGGACGAAAGCGUGGGGAGCGAACAGGAUUAGAUACCCUGGUAGUCCACGCCGUAAACGAUGGAUACUAGCUGUUGGGGGCAACUUCAGUGGCUAAGCGAAAGUGAUAAGUAUCCCACCUGGGGAGUACGGGCGCAAGCCUGAAACUCAAAGGAAUUGACGGGGGCCCGCACAAGCGGUGGAGCAUGUGGUUUAAUUCGAUGAUACGCGAGGAACCUUACCAAGGCUUAAAUGUAGAUUGACCGAUUUGGAAACAGAUCUUUCGCAAGACAAUUUACAAGGUGCUGCAUGGUUGUCGUCAGCUCGUGCCGUGAGGUGUCAGGUUAAGUCCUAUAACGAGCGCAACCCCUGUUGUUAGUUGCCAGCGAGUCAUGUCGGGAACUCUAACGAGACUGCCAGUGC
rnacentral:rRNA from 1 species